CCCUUAGAUGUUCUGGGCAGCACGCGCGCUACAAUGGUCUUCGCAAACGGAUGCAUUCUCGAAGGAGAAUGCCAAUCUUGGAAUCUAUGCCUUGGUCGGGACAGUUGCUUGCAAUUUUUCGACUCGAACCAGGAAUUCCUUGUAAUCGUGAUUCAUCACAUCACGAUGAAUACGUCCCUGCCCUUUGUACACACCGCCCGUCGCUCCUACCGAUCGAAGAGUUAGGUGAAUUGUUUUGAUCGAUAAGAUUUGACUAUGGUCAACUCUCGUUGUGAAAUUCUGUGAAUUUGACUGUUUAGAGGAAGGAAAAGUCGUAACA
rnacentral:rRNA from 1 species